rnacentral:rRNA from 1 species
CCUGAAUGUGCCCAAUCCAAUCUGAUCUUGGAAGCUAAAUUGG